ACCAACUUGGUGAAACUCUCGAUUUUGUAUUGUGUCAAGGUGGUGAGUCCUCCGAUAAAGGCAAGGAAAUUGCAUCCGAGGACCAGUAGACAGAGUGCUUCGAAAGUCUGCAUUCUAGACAUUGUGAGUAAACUUACUGUCAUUUUAAUUAUCUAGGGUGGUUUUUAGAUGCUUUCAUGAAUUCUAUGGAAAAAGGAAUUUAAAAAGAUAAAUUUUCAUGUUUUAUGAAUAAAUGAGUUUCAAUGAAAUUAAAUUAUAAAUUGUUUUGAAAUUAAUAGUGAUUUUGAAAAAUAGAGUACACGGAGACUGUUAAUUGUGGCAAUUUGAUUGUUUAAAUUGAUUGGCUUAUGAUAAAUCGAGCAUGAUUGGCUAGUUGGCAAUUGUAUUGAAAUGCGAAUUGUUUGGUUACCUUGAAAAACUACGAAUUACAAAAUUGCCAUAUCAUGUUAUUGAGUUUUAUUAUAUGGUGGAUUAUAUAUUAAUUAAUCACUGCAGUAGGGGGUUUCUGUGGACCAGCCUUUUAGAGGGGCACGGUAAACCCCAUUAUAUUCUUACCUCGAACGGAGAGGCGCGUAGGGUAUCUCCUGGGGUAAAGUUUAGGGUUCACUUCACGCUAAACCACCACGUGAGGGGGAACUCAGCCAACGCCAAGGAACGGCUAUGUUUUCAAAACAAAAACAUGAUUUAUGUGAAAUGUGAAUUUUAAUAGCCUUGGCGGUCUCGGUAGGAUGCCUCGGCCAAGGUGUCCCCGAGAAUGGAUUUAUGGCACAAGCCUAGAUUUUUAUGAGAUUCAUAAGCCUCUUUACGUGUUUUGAACAAAAUGUGUUCUAAUGCUAUAACCCAGUUUAUGAUGAUUUACUUUAUUGUCUCCAUGUACUCAACUCUAGAUGUUUAUGAUGAUGUUUGUUUACUCAUUGGGAUUUUAUAAUCUCACCACCCUCCUUUCCACCCAUUUCAGGUUCAGUAUAGACUGUAGAUAGCUGAUCUCAUCGAGGACUACAGUGGGAUCUGCAUUUUCCAAACCGUAGGUUCACAGUCCUCUUUACUUUUGUUUAUUCGGGGGCACUCUUGUUAUUGUAAAUUAAAUUAAAUAUUUU
rnacentral:lncRNA from 1 species